GGUCAAGUGACGAAGUGCAUGU
rnacentral:rRNA from 1 species